rnacentral:rRNA from 1 species
UGGGGAAUAUUGGACAAUGGGGGCAGCCCUGAUCCAGCAAUGCCGCGUGAGUGAAGAAGGCCCUAGGGUUGUAAAGCUCUUUCACCCGUGAAGAUGAUGACGGUAGCGGGAGAAGAAGCCCCGGCUAAUUCCGUGCCAGCAGCCGCGGUAAUACGGAAGGGGCUAGCGUUGUUCGGAAUUACUGGGCGUAAAGAGCGCGUAGGCGGCUCUUCAAGUUAGGCGUGAAAGGCCUGGGCUCAACCUGGGAACUGCGUUUAAUACUGGAGAGCUUGAGUCCGGGGGAGGGUGGUGGAAUUCCCAGUGUAGAGGUGAAAUUCGUAGAUAUUGGGAGGAACACCAGUGGCGAAGGCGGCUCUCUGGUCCGGAUCUGACGCUGAGGCGCGAAAGCGUGGGGAGCAAACAGGAUUAGAUACCCCGGUAGUCC